GAUGAACGCUGGCGGCGUGCCUAAUACAUGCAAGUCGAACGCUGGAGAUCCAGCUUGCUAGAUCGAAGGAGUGGCGAACGGGUGAGUAAUACAUAAGCAACCUACCCACGAAGACUGGGAUAAUCUCUGGAAACGGGGACUAAUACCGGAUAGGUAAUCGGAAGGCAUCUUCUGGUUAUUAAAGGUUAAAAACACUGGUGGAUGGGCUUAUGGCGCAUUAGUUAGUUGGUGAGGUAACGGCCCACCAAGACGAUGAUGCGUAGCCGGCCUGAGAGGGUGAACGGCCACAUUGGGACUGAGACACGGCCCAGACUCCUACGGGAGGCAGCAGUAGGGAAUUUUCGGCAAUGGGGGCAACCCUGACCGAGCAACGCCGCGUGAGUGAAGACGGCCUUCGGGUUGUAAAGCUCUGUUGUAAGGGAAGAACGGUAGAUAGAGAAUAUCUAAGUGACGGUACCUUACCAGAAAGCCACGGCUA
rnacentral:rRNA from 1 species